rnacentral:miRNA from 2 species
ACCCUAUCGAUAUUGUCUCUGCU